UACGUAGGGGGCUAGCGUUGUCCGGAAUCAUUGGGCGUAAAGCGCGUGUAGGCGGUCCGGUAAGUCCGCUGUGAAAGUCGGGGGCUCAACCCUCGGAUGCCGGUGGAUACUGUCGGGCUUGAGUACGGAAGAGGCGAGUGGAAUUCCUGGUGUAGCGGUGAAAUGCGCAGAUAUCAGGAGGAACACCGGUGGUGUAGACGGCUUACCGGACCACGACUGACGCUGAGGCACGAAAGCGUGGGUAGCAAACAGG
rnacentral:rRNA from 1 species